rfam:Candidatus Nealsonbacteria bacterium RIFCSPHIGHO2_02_FTLL_43_13 rifcsphigho2_02_scaffold_6834, whole genome shotgun sequence.
GCCGAUGUAGCUUAGUGGUAAAGCUAUGGUUUCGUAAACCAUGGAUGGCAGUUCGAUUCUGCCCAUCGGCU